GAAUAUGAGAGCGAUCUGGCUGCUAAAUCUGUCACCCCAUUGAUCACGAGGAUUGUUUUGGCUGAUCUGGCUGUCUAGGAGGGAGGCCCCUCCCACCCUCACUGAUCCAUGUGUGUCCCUCCCAAACAGAAGACAUUCCUCUGAAUAGAGAUAGACUGGUCUUUGGUCCAGGGUAUACGAGUAGCUGUGUUCCUCUGCUAGAAUCUCCAAACAAGCUCUCAAGGUCCAAAUGAUGUCAAGUAGGUCACAUUCACAAAAAUCUGCUAGUUGGGAUUUAAAAUAUCUCCUAACACAGU
ensembl:misc_RNA 7SK 7SK RNA